AAGACAUGCAAGUCGAACGAGGUGGCCCAAAAAUAUUUGAUGAAGUUUGAAGUGCUUGCACUAAUUUCGGAUUCAUUUGGCUUUGGAUUCUCCACCUAGUGGCGGACGGGUGAGUAACACGUGGGUGACCUACCUUUAAGACUGGGAUACCUAUUAGAAAUGAUAGUUAAUACCGGAUAACACGUAUAUUCGUUUAUACGUUAAAAGGAGCCUUUAAAGCUUCACUUUUAGAUGGGCCUGCGUAGUAUUAGAUAGUUGGUGGGGUAAUGGCCUACCAAGUCGACGAUGCUUAGCCGAACUGAGAGGUUGAUCGGCCACAUUGGGACUGAGACACGGCCCAAACUCCUACGGGAGACAGCAGUUAGGAAUAUUCGUCAAUGGGGGAAACCCUGAACGAGCAAUGCCGCGUGAAUGAUGACGGCCCUAUGGGUUGUAAAAUUCUGUUGUAUAGGAAAAACGAUCAGAUUAGGAAAUGAAUCUGAUGUGAUGGUACUAUACCAGAAAGCUCCGGCUAACUACGUGCC
rnacentral:rRNA from 1 species